CCUACGGGAGACAGCAGUGGGGGAUAUUUCACACUGUGGGAAACCCUGCUGCAGCGACGCCGCGUGUGGGAAGACGGUCCUCUGGAUUGUAAACCACUGUCCCCAGGGACGACGAUGACGGUACCUGGGGAGGAAGCUCCGGCUAACUACGUGCCAGCAGCCGCGGUAAUACGUAGGGAGCGAGCGUUGUCCGGAAUUACUGGGUGUAAAGGGAGCAUAGGCGGGGAUGCAAGUUGGGUGUCAAAACUACCGGCUCAACUGGUAGUCGCACUCAAAACUGCAGCUCUUGAGUGAAGUAGAGGCAGGCGGAAUUCCUAGUGUAGCGGUGAAAUGCGGAGAUAUUAGGAGGAACACCAGUGGCGAAGGCGGCCUGCUGGGCUUUUACUGACGCUGAGGCUCGAAAGUGUGGGGAGCAAACAGGAUUAGAUACCCGGGUAGUC
rnacentral:rRNA from 1 species